rnacentral:rRNA from 1 species
AUUGAACGCUGGCGGCAUGCCUUACACAUGCAAGUCGAACGGUAACAGGUCUUCGGAUGCUGACGAGUGGCGAACGGGUGAGUAAUACAUCGGAACGUGCCUAGUAGUGGGGGAUAACUACUCGAAAGAGUGGCUAAUACCGCAUGAGAUCUACGGAUGAAAGCAGGGGAUCACAAGACCUUGUGCUACUAGAGCGGCCGAUGGCAGAUUAGGUAGUUGGUGGGAUAAAAGCUUACCAAGCCGACGAUCUGUAGCUGGUCUGAGAGGACGAUCGGCCACACUGGGAAUGCGACACGGGCCAGACUCCUACGGGAGGCGGCAGUGGGGAAUUUUGAACAAUGUGCGCAAGCCUGAACCAGCAAUGCCGCGUGCAGGAUGAAGGCCUUCGGGUUGUAAACUGCUUUUGUACGGAACGAAAAGCCCCGGGUUAAUACCCUGGGGUCAUGACGGUACCGUAAGAAUAAGCACCGGCUAACUACGUGCCAGCCGCCGCCGUAA